UACAGAGGUCCCAAGCGUUGUUCGGAUUCAUUGGGCGUAAAGGGUGUGUAGGUGGCGCCGUAAGUCGGGUGUGAAAUCUCGGGGCUUAACUCCGAAACUGCAUUCGAUACUGCCGUGCUUGAGGACUGGAGAGGAGACUGGAAUUUACGGUGUAGCGGUGAAAUGCGCAGAUAUCAGGAGGAACACCAAUUGCGAAGGCAGCUCGCUGGGACGUAAACUGACGCUGAGACGCGAAAGCGUGGGGAGCAAACAGG
rnacentral:rRNA from 1 species